AUAAUGUUUGUAUUUACUUGCUUAUUCUUAAUUUUUGCAUCCUCCAUGCCUGGCUCAGGGUUUGACCCACAUGGCUUUAACAUAUGGCUAUUAAAUGAAUGGACGAAAGGACGCAUGGGACAUUCAAGCAUAAAAGGAAAAAGGGCUGGACAACAGCGCUGGCAACACAAAAAUGCAAGGAGCCAGAAUAACAGGACCUGAUUCUUUUGUUCAAAUACUGAUGUGAUCUCAGCCUAGAAGCUCUACUUUCAAAGCACAUCUUGGUGGCACAGAUUUUCAUGGAGGCCCCACUUUCGGCAGAAUAAAGCUGUGGGUUCUUGCCA
rnacentral:lncRNA from 1 species